GGAAAUGUAGCUCAGUGGUAGAGCACUUGCCUGACAUGAGGGCCCUGGGUUUGAUCCCCAGCAAUACAU
rnacentral:tRNA from 1 species